rnacentral:rRNA from 1 species
GUCCACGCCCUAAACGAUGUCAACUAGUUGUUGGGAGAGUAAAAUCUCUUAGUAACGCAGCUAACGCGUGAAGUUGACCGCCUGGGGAGUACGGUCGCAAGAUUAAAACUCAAAGGAAUUGACGGGGGCCCGCACAAGCGGUGGAUUAUGUGGAUUAAUUCGAUGCAACGCGAAAACCUUACCUGGCCUUGACAUGCCGAGAACAUUGCAGAGAUGCGAUGGUGCCCGAAAGGGAACUUGGACACAGGUGCUGCAUGGCUGUCGU